rnacentral:misc_RNA from 1 species
ACAAACUUGGUCAUUUAGAGGAAGUAAAAGUCGUAACAAGGUCUCUAUAGGUGAACCUGCGGAGGGAUCAUUCGUGAAGCAGGCGCUCCCGCCCCCUUCUCUAACCUUCAACCAUGUGGUCUUCUGCCAUUGCCUCGGGGGGGUUUUGGAGUGGCCUCGGCCGUUGGGGCCCCUCGGCGGGCCCCGCCCCCCCGGCAUGCCCUUGAUAUAUUAUAAUAAAGUCUUGGAGUGUUAUCUGCGUCUGAUCAGUCCGGUGGACAUAAUGAAAAUAAAACUUUCAACAAUAGAUCCCUUGGCUCUCGCAUCGAUGAAGAACGCAGC